rnacentral:misc_RNA from 1 species
CUGAAUCCUAAAAUUGCAGAAACAAAGAACCAAAUUCUGUAUGGUGUCCCUGAUAACCAUUAUGAAAUCUAGAUGAAUAUUUUAAAUUUAUCAGGUCUGAAUUUGGUCAGAUUAUAGCAGAGUGUCGUUUUUUGUUAUCUCAAGGGCUGAAUAUUUUAGUUAGUUGGAUCCCUCAUCAUGCUAACCUUGCUACCCAUUCCUUAGCGAAAACAGCUUUGUUAUAUGCUAGGCGUACUCAUUGGGUAGUUUCACCCAGUUCUGUCUCCAAUGUUCUCUCUUCUGAUGUUUUUUCCAAGGUUUUUUCACUUAACAUCUCGGGUUCUAGGUUGGGUGUAUUUGGGUGGGUCUGCUGACCUGGGUUGGUUUGGACUAGCUUUGUUAAGUUUUCCUGAGUUCAUUAAUAUAUUUUGAUUUUCAAAAAAGGAAAAAAAACCUUCUCUCUCAGUCCCAUGUUGUGUACAAUUGAGCUUACAUUGCUUGAGAUCUAAAGAGUAUUCAAUUCCUUUUUCUUCAGAAUUGCAAGACAUUCUCCCUCAAG